AUGUAAAGUUGUGUGUUGUCGCAUUAAAACCAUACAACACGUCUAAUUUAUUUAUGUCAAGUAAAAUAAAUGAAAUAAAAGCUCACGUUGACUCUGUGUGGUCAGUGUGAGUUGCACCAGUUCCAGAUCCUGCAGAGUUUGGUGCUGAAGCUGAAGGAAGGAGAUGCAGAGUCGGGCCGAAUGCUGACCGUCCAGACGGAGACCAACAGGCUCCUGAAGCUCCAGCUGGAGGACAGGGACAGCCGACUCGCCACGGCCAAUCGGGUGGCCAGAUCAGGAGUCAGGACCUGUUCAGCGUACAUUUUCAGAAGAGCUUGUAUUCACUUGCAGCUUUGAUGGCUGUUUACAGACAAUCGGUGCCUUGAAGGAAGCGUUAAAGUCCUGGGACUCUCAGAUCAUCGCUCUGCAGGAAGAGUUUAAAAUGCAGUGACGGAAGGACCAUUCCCACAGUAGGCGGUGGAUUCAUCAGAGUACUCAAACAGAAAUCAAGACAUGUCCUGAACUCAAGGUAUUUUACUCUCCAACCCGACUCACUCAGUCACAUCUAUUUGUCCCGACCGCUUCCAGUCUUGACCUUUUUCCAGAUUCACCAGGAUCCACCUGCAGUCCACAGCGACUCUGGUGAAGUCUGUGCAAAGCUAUCAGAGCUUCUGGAUGAGUUCCACCACAAAGAGGGACUAAAUGUGGAGGAAGUGAAAAGGGAGGACAACGAGGAAGGUGACGUUGAUUGUAAGCUUGUCUCGGUAAGCCACAGUUCUACCAUAAGAACCAUUCACUCGCAUUUAACUACGUGCAUCUUCUGUGUCUGUUUGGUCACGUCAUCAGAAAUGCACACCGCAAGCGUUGGGGCUGCAGACUUCCCCAACAUCGCAGGCACAACCAACAGUGGGAUUACUCCACCUAGGAAGCGGUUGAAGUCUCCUGUGUGGGAAUGCUAAAGGAGAAAUCCAGGACCACGGGACCUCAGCGACGUUAGCAGUGAGUUCUGUAUUCGACAGACAUUCACACUCAUUAAACAAAAACCUAGAAACUUUAUUUACUACUAAUUUACUUACUAACUUUAUUAUUUAUGACUUUCACGAGUCUGAAAGUGCAUGAUUUACAUGGAUGUUACAAGCUGAAAGGCACUAUAAUCGAUGUAAAUUAAAUCAUCUCCUGUCGUUCCAUUUGGAACUUUUAUUUUGAAGCCCUGCACAACCGUCAAAAGCACAGCGAGUGCCUUAAAUCAGAAGAAUCACUUCGCAUUUUCACAUUUUAUUGACUGCAACAACUGAAAACCCAACCACAGGCAUACAUGACUUGGUGAAAGUGAAGAUUUCUAGGUUUUUGUUUAAUGAGUCUGAAUGUGUAUGAGUAUGAACUCACCGCUAACUUGCACAAAAAACAUUGCGUCCAACGCUCGCUCGUAUCAUUCCAGACAGAUCAUUCGUUCCUGGUCUUCCAUCAGAAACGGCUUCACUAUCGUUGUAACCACGUAUCUGUAAUUGUCAUGGCCGCCGUCCCACCGCCUGGCCCCCAGGGGGCAGACGACAACGACCGCGAUCCGUAAACGAAGGAGAAUGGGGUUCAACAUAAAACCGGGCAGCCAUCUCCGCCCGCCCUUUGAGAUCGUUUCUUUGAUGCUGGCCUUCCUGAUCUUUGACCUCUUGCCCGAAUAACCUGCCUGCUCCCUUCGACCUCCCAAAUCGACCCCUCACCCUGCCCCCACAGCCCUGUAUAUCCCCCUCGACCCAGGACAAUAAGCGCGUGGAGACGGUGCUUUGCUCAGUGUCGCCUUGGCGGAUCGGGAUUCGAACCGGCAACCUUCUGAUUACGGGGCCGCUUCCUUAACCGCUAG
ensembl:lncRNA